CUAAAUUCAGACAAAACACCUAAGUUAAACUUUUAACCCGAGAAAUAGUAACAACAGUACAGUAACUAAUCUUCUAUUAUUACCCCUGCCUGAAACUAAUAAAUUAAUACUCAUAUGAUAAAAUUCUCGGGGUUCCAUUUUUGAUUCUUCAUCAUUACAGUUCUCUGCAUCUUCUUCACCAAAAAGCUAAAAUCCUUUUUGUUCCUUUUCACAUAUUUCUAAAAUUGGAUAAAAUUCUUAUCAAUGGAACCACCAGAAAACGACACAGUAAUAGCAUUCGAAUCAGCUGAAAAAAUAAUUCUCCGAUGGGACUCAACAGUAUCAGAAGAAGCAAGAGAAAAAAUGAUAUUUAACGGCGAUCGUAACGAGAUCGAUCGUUAUUUACAAGCCGUUGAUGAAAUCCAACGGUCAAUGGAGUCUACAACAUUAUCCAACGAUCAUGAUAAAGCAAAUAGUGCGAUCCAGAUCGCUAUGGCUAGACUUGAAGAUGAGUUUCGUAAUAUACUUAUUGCUCAUACAAGUGCAAUUGAAGCUGAUUCGUUAAUUGAUCCUACUCCUUCUUCAGUCAACUCUGGUGAAUUCAAUUUGCCUGAAGAAGAUUACAAUGAAACUCCUACCAAGGGCAGAUCCAGUUCUUCAGGAAGCUAUAAACUUCAAAUCCUGGAUCCAUCUCUGACUUCCACUGACGAUGAUUCGUUCACUAAGGAGUUGGAUCAUCAAGAGAGUAGCACUAGCAGCUAUCGAUCUACUAAUAGUAUCCGCGAAGUUGAUCUUAUGCCGUCCGAAGCAAUAGAUGAUCUCCGAAGUAUCGCCGAGCGAAUGAUUUCUGCUGGAUAUCUCCGAGAGUGUAUUCAGGUAUACGGUAGUGUACGGAAGUCCGCCGUGGAUUCGAGCUUCCGAAAGCUUGGAAUAGAGAAGCUGAGCAUUGGAGAUAUCCAGAGACUUGAUUGGGAGACACUGGAAACGAAGAUCCGAAGAUGGAUACGAGCUGCAAAAGUAUGUGUUCGCAUGCUUUUUGCUAGCGAGAAGAAACUAUGUGAGCAAAUCUUCGAGGAUUUGGGCACGGCGACUGAUGAUGCUUGCUUUAUGGAGACUAUUAAAGGACCAGCAAUACAGCUGUUCAAUUUCGCAGAAGCUAUUAGCAUUAGCAGGCGAUCGCCUGAGAAGUUGUUUAAGAUAUUGGAUCUUCAUGAUGCUUUAUCGGAUUUACUCCCUGAUAUUGAAGUUGUUUUCGAGUCAAAAUCUUCAGAAUCUAUUAGAGUUCAAGCAGUAGAGAUAUUGUCUAGGUUAGGGGAGGCUGCUAGAGGGAUAUUAUCGGAAUUCGAGAAUGCAGUGCUUCGUGAACCUUCGAAAGUUCCCGUCCCUGGAGGGACGAUUCAUCCCUUAACUAGGUAUGUCAUGAACUAUAUAAGUCUAAUUUCGGACUAUAAGCAGACAAUGGGUGAAUUGAUUGUUUCACAGCCAUCGACGGGAGCAAGGUACUCAAAUGAUCCUAAUACCCCUGAUAUGGAUUUCGGGGAGCUAGAAGGGCAGACUCCAUUAGCGCUUCAUUUGAUUUGGAUUAUUGUCAUUUUGCAGUUCAAUUUGGAAGGUAAGGCUAAGCACUAUAGAGAUAACUCUUUAGCUCAUUUAUUCAUGAUGAACAAUGUGCAUUAUAUUGUUCAGAAGAUUAAAGGGUCACCUGAGUUGGGGGAAAUGAUUGCGGAUAAUUACGUAAGAAAAUUAACGGGGAAAUUCAGGAUAGCUGCUACCUGUUACCAGAGAGCAACCUGGGUGAGGGUUUUGCAUUGUUUGAGAGAUGAGGGAUUACAUGUGAGUGGCAGUUUUUCAUCAGGGGUGUCCAAGAGCGCAUUGAGAGAGCGGUUCAAGUCGUUCAACGCCUUGUUUGAAGAGGUUCACAGGACUCAGUCCACAUGGUUGAUACCAGAUACACAGCUCAGGGAGGAGCUGCGUAUUUCCAUAUCCGAAAAGUUGAUUCCUGCCUAUAGAUCAUUUCUUGGACGGUUCAGGAGCCAUAUAGAAAGCGGAAGGCAUCCAGAAAACUAUAUCAAGUAUACUGUGGAGGACUUAGAGAAUGCUGUCCUGGAUUUCUUUGAGGGGUACGCUGUGUCACAGCACUUGAGGAGAAGAUCUCAGUGAAAGAACAUUAGUUUCAAGAAUUAGUACUUUAGGAUAUUCUUUGAAUUUUUUUUUUUUUUUAAUAGAGUCAUUCAGGGGCUGAGGUUAUGGCAUUCUGGUGUUUCUCGAGUUUGUGCUUUCAUUUGUAGUAUUCCAGGGUGAUGGGCUGCUGAAAACUUCGGGAAGAUCAGCUGUAUCUAUCAAGAAGGGUCAGUGCCUCCUGCCUCUGGGUGCUCCGCCCUGCCUUCUGUUUGAAACUUUGAAGUCUGCUGUAUCUGAGGGUCAAAACUUACAAGGUGUGCCUUCCAAUGUUACACAUCUUCUUGCUACCUCUUCACUCACCAUGUACUCCCCGUUCUAAUUAUCCAUUUCCAACAUAUAAUGUAUUAUAUAAAGGAAAAAGAACUAAGUCAAGGGUGCAGAAUCUUUUUGUGGAGACACAAUUCAUUUUCUUAGCUAUUCAUUGUACAUGCUAGCUUGUUGGUAGAUCCCUGUAGGAUCUUGAAUCCUUGUGUAUCCUCAAAUGUGGUAAUCUGUGUCCACUGUAGAAAUUUUCUUUUAUUCUUACCUAAUGGCAAGAAAUGUCGGAUUUUUUUCAGAUCAAGAUGUUUAAUUUCGAUUAUAUUCAAUUGUCAUUUGUAGAUUGAAUACUGCAAAACUUGGGUAUCUGUUACAAAGAUCCAUUUCUUUCUUUUCCACUUUGGCUGAUAUUGCCUCUUUAAAGUACUUGGUAAAAUGACCCUUCUCAUUUAUGAUGAGUUAACUACGAAAGAUUCUUCAAACUAAUAAUUCUCGUGCCAUGUUGAAUGUUCAUUCUUCUGUCUCAGUGCCAUGUUCAAUGUUCAUUCUUCUGUCUCAACAGAAAAUAGGAAGAUUGAGUGUGGGUGUUGUCUA